rnacentral:rRNA from 1 species
CUGCUGCCUUCCGUAGGAGUCUGGUCCGUGUCUCAGUACCAGUGUGGGGGACCUUCCUCUCAGAACCCCUACGCAUCGUCGUCUUGGUGGUCCGUUACACCGCCAACUAACUAAUGCGACGCAUGCCCAUCCGCCACCGGAAUCAACCUUUGGCACCAACAGGAUGUCCCGUCGAUGCAUUAUGCCGUAUUAGACGGAAUUUCUCCCGAUUAUCCGGCUGUGGCAGGCAGGUUGCAUACGUGUUACUCACCCG